rnacentral:rRNA from 1 species
UGGGGAAUAUUGGACAAUGGGCGAAAGCCUGAUCCAGCCAUGCCGCGUGUGUGAAGAAGGUCUUCGGAUUGUAAAGCACUUUAAGUUGGGAGGAAGGGCAUUACCCUAAUACGUUAGUGUUUUGACGUUACCGACAGAAUAAGCACCGGCUAACUCUGUGCCAGCAGCCGCGGUAAUACAGAGGGUGCAAGCGUUAAUCGGAAUUACUGGGCGUAAAGCGCGCGUAGGUGGUUUGUUAAGUUGGAUGUGAAAUCCCCGGGCUCAACCUGGGAACUGCAUUCAAAACUGACUGACUAGAGUAUGGUAGAGGGUGGUGGAAUUUCCUGUGUAGCGGUGAAAUGCGUAGAUAUAGGAAGGAACACCAGUGGCGAAGGCGACCACCUGGACUAAUACUGACACUGAGGUGCGAAAGCGUGGGGAGCAAACA